rnacentral:misc_RNA from 1 species
GAUGAAGAACGCAGCGAAAUGCGAUAAGUAGUGUGAAUUGCAGAAUUCAGUGAAUCAUCGAAUCUUUGAACGCACAUUGCGGCCAUAGGUAUUCCUUUGGCCAUGCCUGUUCGAGCGUCAUUUACACCCUCAAGCCUAGCUUGGUGUUGGGCGCCUGUCCCGCCGUUUUCGCGCGCGGACUCGCCUCAAAGUCAUUGGCGGCGGUCGUGCCGGCCCCCUCGCGCAGCACAUCUGCGCUUCUCGGAGGCCCGGCGGAUCCGCGCUCCAGCAAGACCUUUCACGACUUGACCUCGGAUCAGGUAGGGAUACCCGCUGAACUUAAGCAUAUCAAUAAGCGGAGGA